rnacentral:lncRNA from 1 species
AGGCAAGAACAGGGGUUAGCCUGGAUUAGAUAUUGAGGUCUCCAGCAAUGUGAUAGCAAAUCAUGUUUCUCUUGGUUAGAUGUUACAGUUUGAGGAUUCAUUUUAAAACAGUGAUGGGUAGCUGUGAUGAACACAGAUCCUAGUCCAAAUCUGUCCUGAGCUCACGCAUUACCAGCUGUGUCACCUGCAGGUCACUUCGCCUCACUCUGCUGCCAUGUGCUCAUUUUAUAAAUGAUGGUAAUAAUGGUGCACACAUGAAGAGGUUUUCUUGAGGAUUAAAUGGGUUAAUACAGCUAAGCCAUUACCUCAAAGCCUGCACGGCAGUGAUGUGUGCAGAUCACCUGCAUGUGAUGUGUUCGGGGUUAGAGGUGAAAGCCACGCUGGUUGCGAUGGCAGAAGCUUGCUUGUGGGUUUCGCAAAUGGAAUAUCUGAGCUGCUCAUUGAAGAUCAGACGUUGUCCACGUGAAGAAGCUGGGCAAGGGCGUUUCAUUCAGAAACCUAGCGUGAGAGCAGACGCCGAAGGAUGAGCGACCAUGAUGUCUGCAGGGAACCUGGAGUGAUUCCGAGUCAGAAAGCAUCAUCAUGGGGCUACACCUCUGGUGUCCCUCUCCUCCUGCCUUGGUCCGAUCAAAAGAAAUCACAUGUUUUUGUGUUGGUCAUGGAGUCUGCAGAUCAGCACAGGGCACACCGUUCCUUUUAGGUUCAGCAGACCUGGGAACAGGGACUUGGGAACAGGUCCUUUACUUGAGAAAUGAUCCUGGGACGCACAGGUGAAAAAGUGCUGAAAAAGAGACAGACAGAAAAGCAAAUGAGGUGUGUGUUAAUAAGCGGGUUUCUCUUUUGGGCAACUGGAGCUCAGUCCCACCGGCAGUCCUCAGAAAACAUGUGGAGCGUACUUCUGAAGCGUUCCAGGGGAGGCUGGGGAGCCUCGGUGUUUAUUCACCCCUUUCCACCCCUUCACACACCCCACUGGUGGAAGGUUUCACCUCCAAGCAGUCGCUCCCCUGAUCCUCAGCUGCUCCUGCCUUUCGUCAGCAAGCUCUUGUGGAGCUAGAAUGAGCUCUCGUGCAGAGAUGCAGUUUGAGUGGGAUGCUGUCAGCAUUCUCUAAACUGUCUUCUGCAGCUGCAGGGGGUUCGGGGGAGACUUGGAGCUGGGCAGGAGGGGCCCACCGACGGCACACAUUCCGGUGAGCUGUCAGCCUCUGAAGAUUUGAUUCUGUGGCCCCUGGUGAGAAGAAUGAGGCAGGGGCUGCCUGGAGACUUGAGAGAGGGGUGGAGAAACAGGGAGAGGGGGAAUCUUUGAACAUCUCACUGACCAGGUCAUGCUGGCAGUUUUUCUUUUAUUAGUCUAAAGGAAGUCCUUUAAAGUGGUUUUCUUAGAAUGUAAACUCCUUCAAUUUGCAUUUUGGACCAUUGUCUUAGAUUGGAAACAUUAUCCUAAACUGGAAAAUAACAAAAAUUUAGCUGCUUUGUGAACCUGGUUUAAGAAUGGGUCUCAGCCCCACACAUAGAGAUCUGGGACUUAGCAAAAGAAAGAUGCAUUCGUUUCUGUAUUGUCAUUUAAUUCAUACUGAACUUACUUUUGAACGUAUUUUAACUUGGCGAAAGACUAAGUAUAUCACAGUGUUUUUAUAGUGUAGACUGAAAUGUACGUAUUUUAACAUAUUUACAGAAUUUUCUCAGUCUCUAUCAAGCGUGAUGUCACCUACUGGCUAAGAAUGUAAAGAUGCACCACUGCAUUAAGGAAUCUUAAGCGUAAUAACUAACAAACGCAGUCUGCCUUUUAAAUUUCGUCAUGACCGUGUGCUAUUUUAUUUAUGUUCCAACUCGACUGAAGUAUAGUUGACACACAACAUGGCGUAAGGUGUUCAGCGUGUUGACUCAAUACGCCUGUAUGUUGGGAAACAAGUACCACCACGGCGUUAACCAGCACCUCCAUCCAGUCUUAAAACGACCAUUUCUUUUCCGUGCUGAGAACGUGUAAAAUCUACUCUCUUUCACAUAUACACUACAGCUGUAUUAACUGUAAUCACCACGCUGUUGUUAGAUGCCCACGACUUAUUGAUCUUCUAACUCCAAGUUUGUGUCAUUUGACCAGCAUCUCUCCAUUUCCUCUCCUCCCCGUCCCCUCGUAACCGCUAUUCUACUCUCUUUCUAUGAGUUUAGCUUUUUUUAGAUGCCACCUGUAAGCGAUGUCAUACAGUGCCCGUCCUUUUCUGUGUGACUCAGCUCACUUAGUGUCAUGGCUUCAGGAUCCGUUCGUACUGUUUCAAGGAGCAGGAUCUCCUUCUUUCUCGGGGCCGAAUAUUCCAUGGUGUGUAUAUGCCACAGCUUCCUUCUCCAUUUGUCCGCUGACAGACACUGUGGCUGUUUCUGUAUCUUUGCUACCGUGAGUAAUGCUUCAGUGACCAUAGGAGUGCAGCUGUCUCUUCAAGAUACUGAUUUCAUUUUCUUUGGCUCUGUACACAGAGGUGGAAUUACUGGAUCGUAACAGUGUGCUCUUCUAGAUUUAGAUUCUAGAAUUAGACAGUUCCACGAUGUUCAUUCUAAGUGUGAUCCUGUUUGGCCCCACUCAGGGAAUACACUCCAGGGAGAUGAGUGAUAGAACAUACACAUUCCUUAUUUCUAGACAGUAUAGCAUCCAUUACAGAAUUUAAUAUUGAUACAGGCCAGCAAUUUUGUAGAAUUAAUGAAUGAGUAAUUGACUUGAAAGUGAUUUUUAAACAAAGGAAUAAUUUGGAAAGAAUAGGACCAAGUCGCUUUAACUCAGUGUUUCCAAUGUCUGUAGACAAUCCCUUUAACAUUGUUACAUUGUAACUGUUUCACGAAGGUUCAGUUUAUUGCUUUGUGAUCUUAAAUGCAAAUUCUUUUGAUGGCAGUCACUGUCUCUGUAUUUCCCGUCUGCAUUUUUUAACAUGCGCGUUAACCACAUGGAGUAAUUUCCUGGGGUGGAGAUAAUUUAAUGGGGAAUUCGUACCUACAUCAAUUAGAAUGAGGCUGAACAUGUUAGCUGAAGUCUGUUUAGCUGGAUCAGAUCGGUUCUAUUUAACAUCUAAAGUAGCUGCUGUAAACUUCCUGGACAAAGAUGUUAGUCCACUUAACUGUGCAUCUGCGGUGCGUUUACACAGGGUUUUGGAGUAUUUGUCAAUGGGUGUGUCUACGAGAGAGGUACACACUUAGGACUUCGGAAGAUACUGCACUUUUUGGCCAUUUCUCCCAGUUUUAAGAGAUUCUAAGUAGAUAUUAUUUUUUAUUAUCUCAAUUAAGUGCUGAGCGCUCACUAACCAUCAGGCUUUGACCAGGAAAGACAUACAUGUUCUGUAUUCCCAUGAUGUGCGGCGGAAGCUACUGUCUGAGUCUGCGAACUCAGAGACACACCCGGUGUUGCUCAGAUGGAGAAUGGAGGGCUGCCAGCUUGUCGAGGCCCAGGUAGCUUAGCGCCAUCCCAGAUGUACAAGAGGGAGAAGGAGCUUCCUUACAGAGACUUGUCUUUCAGGAAUCUCAGGACAAUUCACCACAUAGACUCAGUUCAAGUAUAGUUUUUUUAAAAUAUGAAGUACAUAUAAAAUAAUGUGAACAGCACACAGACAGAAGUGCAGAUUGCGAUGGCUGUGCCCGGCAUGACCUUAAGAAAAGGAACCUCCCUGAGCCGUAGUGUUUCCCAGGCGUGUCAUUGAUGCGUGAUCUGAGCUGUACUGUCCUGAGGACAAAAGCAUCUUGACCUUCUUUAAACUGUUCAAGUAAUUUUUUUAGCACAGUACAACUGCUUGCAUUUUUUUUUUCAUGUUGGACAAAUUAAAACUUCAGAGGGAGCAGAGUUUUUCUCCAAUAUAUUUCUUCCUGUUUACAUGCUUCGAUUAAAAGAGGGAACUACUGCACCACCAGCGACUCUUUUCUACUCCACUUUUUCCGCGUCGUUCAGGCUGCCUCAGUUCUUUUUAUGAGAUUUUCCUGCUGGGUUUUGUCUGAUAUUCCAGUGUAGGUAAUUUGUCCUUUUAGUGGGAGGUGGGGGCCUAUGGAGAUUUCCCUUGUGUGGUGUCUGUGUCUCUUGCCCUCAGAUCAGUGCUUCUGAAGCUUGCUUUGCUUCAUUCAUCUUCCUGCGGUCAAGCCAUCCAGACGUUUCCGCUAAGUCCUUUUAUCCCUAAAUGUUCAGGGUGUGUCUCAACUGUCAACUGACUGAUGGCAUGAAAUAUACUCUAUAUUUACAUGGACGCCUUCUUCUCUACACUUGUUUUUCUGCAACUCCUGACCUCCACGAUUAAUCUCUUCCUCCGAACCGGCCCCACCCUGUUCCAGCUUCUAACCAUAGCCCCGUCCACCUGGGAGGAGCAGUGAGGGGGCUCCCCGAAGGGAGCCUCAAGGAUGGCUGGACAAGGAAAACAAGACUCCUCUUAGCACAGUCGCACACCCGAGUUAACACUCCGCAAGGGACCGUCUGGGUUGCGCCUAUGGGGGGGUUUCCUCUGCGGCUGUUACAUUUCGGAGUUGCACAGGGAAGAGGUGGUCUUUGCUCUUUCCUCUUUUACCUGGAAUCUUUGAAGCUCUCUGUGUCUUCCAGAACCUCAUGGGACUAACUGACCUAGGCCAGAGGCUGAGAAGCAGAACAGGUGAGGUCCCGGGAAGGGUCCUGAGUUAAGAGACGUGGGGUAUCCUGAGGAAAGUGGAGGAGAGAGAGAGGCAGAGAGGCGGACAGCGUGCGGGGUGGGGGGAGGUAUCCUGGCCUCUCUCUUAUGUCACGUGAAAAGACAGAUGAAAAAAACCUACUAGGCAAACACUUAUACAUGCGGCGUAUGUGUGUAUGAUUUUAUUAAGUAAAAAUAGGGAGCAAGAGGGAGAUGUGGCAUCCGUUGUGCAGCAACAAUAUGCCCGUCACUUUGCACGUAUUUCCACAUUUAAUCUUCAAACAAAUGUGAAAGAAAAAAGCUGCAAUCCGCCCCGGUUUUCAGACGAGCAGUGUCCUGAGAGAUUACGUAACAUGCCCUGUGUGGGCUUCUCAGCAAAGGAAUGAGAAUUCCCGCACUAGUCUCUUCAGUUCAGCUAAUUGCUUGAAAUCAAACUCUUAGAAAUAUUUUUUGGGUAGAUAAAGUUAUUAAAAUUUUCCUAUGUUAUAAAAGUGUUAUUUUCCUAAAGGCAGUCAUUUUAAUUUUCUUCCUUUCCCCCAAAUCCCACUCCAUUCAGAUCUAUUUCAUUUGUACCAAUGAAAUUACCAAUAUGAUUUUGCUAGACUAGCAUGUUUAAAUGCAAGUUAAAUGACUUGGAAUUAAAAGAUAUUCACGAACAUCUCUUGAGGUACUUUAAAGUCACAUAAACUUUCAGUUCUUUAUGGGUUUGUGAGAAGGUAUCAUAUUCACCAAGCUGUGCUGUUUUAGGAAAACAGAAUCUAUUCCCUCGGACCUUCUUUUCACAUUUCAAACAACAACAAGAAAAAGCCUCUCCCUUAAAGCUGCCGUUGCCGGCGUAUGUCCUGCCUUUACAAACCUUUUGUACAAAAUGCCGAAGAAAGCAAGAACAAACUAGGGAAAAUCCUUUUUGUAGUGAAUGAGUGUGAACUUGUUCAGCUGCUUCUUGGCACGCUCACAGCAUCCAGUGUCCUCUCCUGAGGGCCACACAUCCCGACUUAGGCAAGGUCAGGCUCCGUUGACCUUUCCAGUUCACGAAAUUCUCCUUUCUUUCCUGAUUUUGUUAUUUACAUCCUUCACAAGAGAGUUCGUUUAUAUCAGGAACUAAUUAAAGCGACUUUCAGAGCAGUUCUCCGCACACAUAGGUAUGGCUCUUCCGCUUGACUGUGUACAGAUCUUAAGCGAUAAUACUUGCCCAGACACCCUAACUUACAAUCCUUUUAAAACUAAGCUUCCCAGUAUCUUUCAAACCAAUACUUCCUGUACGCAAUACCCAGAUGGACAUUUGGCUCUGUUUUGUGACACAGGUAUAUUUGACAUCCAGUGACUCAGUCUUUUGUGUUUGAUGGUGUGACUUUUCCCUUCUCAUCCCAAGACAAUUAAAGAUCACAGGCUAUAACCUAAGCAGGACCAGCUCCAAAAUUAGUGGCGACUAAUGAAAAAUAAAAUUUUUUUUGGUCAAAAUUGACGAAGAAUUUCAAGAUGGCAACAUGAGGGCAUUAAACCAAGUGCCGGGACACUUCCAACACUGGACCUUGUGUGACUACACAAGUGA